UCCUACGGGAGGCAGCAGUAGGGAAUCUUCCCCCAUGGGCGAAAAUCUGACGGAGCAACGCCGCGUGAGUGAAGAAGGUUUUUGGAUCGUAAAGCUCCGUUCAUAGGGAAGAACAAGUACCGUUCGAAUAGGGCGGUACCUGACGUACCUACCA
rnacentral:rRNA from 1 species